CGACCGCUGGCGGCGUGCUUAACACAUGCAAGUCGACCGGAAAGGCCCUGCUUUUGUGGGGUGCUCGAGUGGCGAACGGGUGAGUAACACGUGAGUAACCUGCCCUUGACUUUGGGAUAACUUCAGGAAACUGGGGCUAAUACCGGAUAGGAGCUCCUGCUGCAUGGUGGGGGUUGGAAAGUUUCGGCGGUUGGGGAUGGACUCGCGGCUUAUCAGCUUGUUGGUGGGGUAGUGGCUUACCAAGGCUUUGACGGGUAGCCGGCCUGAGAGGGUGACCGGCCACAUUGGGACUGAGAUACGGCCCAGACUCCUACGGGAGGCAGCAGUGGGGAAUAUUGCACAAUGGGCGGAAGCCUGAUGCAGCAACGCCGCGUGCGGGAUGAAGGCCUUCGGGUUGUAAACCGCUUUCGCCUGUGACGAAGCGUGAGUGACGGUAAUGGGUAAAGAAGCACCGGCUAACUACGUG
rnacentral:rRNA from 1 species